CAAAUAAAUUACCUUCGAAAAUAUUUAUAUAAUGGUAGAAAUAUUCCAAAAUUCCAUAUUUUGGGAUUUAUACACAAAAGAUAAACAAAUUAGAGGCCAAGAGGCUGCCAGAAGGGAAAAACGGGGCCUGGAAAGGCCAUUGUGAGGAAUGAGCUGGGCCUAAAGAGGCCACUGGCAGGCAGGAGCUGGGACUGCCAAAGCCACCGAAAGGCAGGAGCUUUGGACUGGGGAGGCUACAGUGAGGCGAGAGCUAGCUGGGCGUGGAGAGUCCACUGUGAAGCCGAGGCCGGGCACGUGCAGGCCUUCAAGAGGCAGGAAGCCGGGCCUGCAAAGGCCGACUGGAGGUCAAGUUCUGGGCCUGAAGAGGCCACCAAAAGUCAAAAGCGGGGCCUAGGAAGGCCGCUGAGAGCCAUGAGCUGGGCUGGGCCGAAAGAGGCCACUGGGAGGCAGGAGAGGCUGGGCCUGGAGAGGCUGACUCGAGGAAGUUUUGCACCUGGAGAGGCCGCCGAGAGGACGGAGCUGGGCCCGGGGAGGCCAACUUGCAGCUCUUCCAGGCCCACUUCCAGGAUGACUUGAGUACGACUUAGGCAUGCAGAGGCCGCCGGGAGGCUGGAGCUGGGCCUGGAGAGGCCGACUUCAGGACGAUUUGGGCCUGCAGAGGCCGCCGGGAGGCGCAAGAUGGGCCUAGAGGAACCCACCGACCGGAGGCCGUUGGGGGCCUGGAGACGCCGUCGGAGGGCAGGAGCUGAGCCUGGAGAGGCCACCGUGAGGCCUGACCUGGGCCUGGGGAGCUUGGCUUCAGGAAGUUGUGGGCCUACCAGGGCCACUGGGAGCUGGGCGGGAGCUGAGUCCAAAGAAGUUGUUGGGAGGCCGGAGUCGGGCGUGGAGACGCAGCUGGGAGGAAGAGCUGGGCCCGGAGAGGAUGCCGGGAGGCUGCAAGUGGGUCUGGAGAGGCCGACUUGAGGAGGCCCGGCCUCUGCCUCCCGCAUGGCGGCCUCUGCAGGCCCAGCUGUUCCUCCUGGCUGCAUCUCUCGGCCCACAUCCUGCCUCACAGCAAGCAAGCUCUUUUGGCUCAGCUCCCACCGGCGUUUGUAGACCCUGAAGUUUCUGCAGCCAAGCUCUUCAGGCCCACAUCCUGCCUCCCGGUGGCCUGUACAGUCCCAGCUCUGGCAGCAGAAGAGCGUCUGCAAGCCCCGCUGUGGCCUCCCAGGGGCAUAUCCAGGCCCAGCUCUCCCCCCACUGCGGCCUCCCGGGGCCAAGUCCCUGCCUGCUCCCGGCAGCCUGCGUGCGGCCCUGCUCCUCCCUCACGGGGGCCUGUUGAGGCAGGGGCUCACGCGGACCUCUCUCGGCGUGGGAGGGGCCGGUGUGAGGCAAGGGGCUCACGCUGACCUCUCUCGGCGUGGGAGGGGCCGGUGUGAGGCAAGGGGCUCACACCGACCUCUCAGCAUGGGAGGGGCCGGUGUGAGGCAAGGGGUCACGCUGACCUCUCUCUGCAUGGGAGGCGCCGGCGUGAGCCAAGGGGUCAGCGUGGGAGGGGCCAGUGUGAGGCAAGGGGCUCACACCGACCUCUCUCAGGGUGGGAGGGGCCAGUGUGAGGCAAGGGGCUGACGCCGACCUCUCUCAGCGUGGGAGGGGCCAGUGUGAGGCAAGGGGCUCAUGCCGACAUUUCUCAGCGUGGGAGGGGCCAGUGUGAGGCAAGGGGCUCACGCUGACCUCUCUCUGCGUGGGAGGGGCCGGUGUGAGCCAAGGGGUCAGUGUGGGAGGGGCCGGUGUGAGGCAAGGGGCUCACGCCGACCUCUCUCAGCGUGGGAGGAGCCAGUGUGAGGCAGGGACUCACGCCUCUGCGCAGGGUGCCAGCGGCAUGAGUUGGGCAUCAACAGGCCACCGUGAGGGAGGAACUGGGCCGCACGCGGGCUGCCGGGAGGCCGCCGUGGGGGCGAGAGCUGGGCCUGGAGAGGCCCCUGGGAGGCAAGAGCGGGACCUGCAGAGGCUGUUCUACCGCCAGAGCUGGGCCUGUACAGGCCACCGAGAGGCAGUAGGCGGGCGCGAAGAGCUUGGCUCGAGAAAGUUCGGGGCCUACAAAGGCGGCUGGGAGCUGGGCAGGAGUUGAGCCCAAAGAGCUUGCUUACUUGCUGGGAGGCAGGGCCGGGCGACGCCGACUUCAGGACGACUUGGGCCUGCAGAGGUCGCCGGGAGGCCCAAGCUGGGCGUGGAGGAGCCCACCGACCGGAGACCAUUUCGGGUCUGGAGACGCCAUUGGAGGGCAGGAGGUGAUCCUGGAGGCCACCGUGAGGCCUGACCUGGGCCUGGGGAGCUUGGCUUGAGGAAGCUGUGGGCCGACCAAGGCCGCCAGGAGAUGGGCAGGCGCUGAGUCCAAAGAGGUUGUUGGGAGGCAGCAGUCGGGCCUGGAGACGCAGCCGGGAGGAAGAGCUGGGCCCGGAGAGGACGCCGGGAGGCUGCAAGUGGGUCUUUAGAGGCCGACUUGAGGAGGUUCUGGGCCCGGAGAGGCCGCCGGAAGGGAAAAACUGGGCCUGGAAAGGCCGUUUUGAGGAAUGAGCCCCAUGGGCCUGAAGAGGCCACUGGCAGUUGGGAGCUGGGCCUGCGGAAGUGGCGGAGAGGCAGGAGUUUUGGACUCGGGAGGCCGCAGUGAGGCGAGAGGUAGCUGGGCGUGGAGAGUCCGCUGUGAGGCCGAUGGUGGGCCUGUGCAGGCCUUUGCGAGGCAGGAGCUGGCCCUGGACAGGCCGACUUGAUGACAGUCUGGGCCUGGAGAGGCCGCCGGGAGGAAGAGCUGGGCCUGGAGAGGCCGACUGGAGGAAGUCCAGAGCCUGAAGAGGAUGCAAAGCAGCAAACACUAGGCCUGGAAAGGCUGCCCUGAGGCACGGGCUUGGCCUAGAGAGGCCACUGGGAGGCAGGAGCUGGGCCCGCAGAGGUUCCCGAGAGCGGGGAGCAUUGCCCCAGGAGGCCACGGUGAGAAAGAUGUGGGCCUGGAGAGCCCACUGUGAGGUAGAGGCCGGGCCUGUAGAGGCCGCCGACAGGCAGGGGCUGGGCCCGUUGAGGCCACGAGAGGCAUGAGCUGGGCCUCAACAGGCCAGUGUGAGGCAGGAGCUGACACUUGGGCAGGUUGCAAGAGGCAUGAGUUGGGCGAAAAGAGGCCACCGUGAGGGAGGAGUUGGGCCUGUACAAGUUGCCGAAAGGCAGGAGCAGCUUUGGACUGGAGAGGCAGCAGACAGGGAAGAGCUGGGCGUGGAGAGUCUGCUGUGAGGCAGAGGCUGGGCCUGUACAUGCCCUCGGGAAGCAGGAGGCUGGGCCUGGAGAGGCCGACUUGAGGAAGUUUUGCUCCUGGAAAGGCCACUUAGAGACAAGAGCUGGGUGUGAAGAGGCUGACUUGAGGUCGAUUUUGGCCUACAGAAGCCACCGGUAGCUAGGAGUUGGCCCUGGAGAGGCUGACUUGAGGACAGUUUUGGCCUGUAGAGGCCACUGGGAGGGAGAGCUUGGUCUGGAGAGGCCAACUGGAGUAAGUU
rnacentral:lncRNA from 1 species